rnacentral:misc_RNA from 1 species
AACGCACCUUGCGCUCUUGGGUUAUUCCUGAGAGCAUGCUUGUUUGAGUGUCGCAAACUUCUCAACCCCGCCUAGCGAUAGGUAGACCAGGGCUUUGGAUCAUGGCCGGCUUGUCAGCUUACCCUGACUCGGCUGAAAUGGAAUAAGCUACUGCCAACAGUACCCUUGCGGCUCGAGCUAUCGUUGUAGAACUUUUCGAUAGCGACGCACGCGGUAACAAAAAGUACGCUUUCAAACAGCCCCACAAACCUGAUCUUCAGUUCAAGACCAGUGCAUUUUGACCUCAAAUCAAGUAGGACUACCCGCUGAACUUAA